GUCAACAUCACCGUUGUCAUAUAUGAAUGACGUUCCGUUAUUACACAAAAAAUAUGUCACUUCCAUUUAAGUAAUAAUCAAAACUAGAGGUCCCGCAGUAGGCGAAAUUCGACCAUAAUUAAUUGGAAUUGACACGCCUCGGGCCGGAUGCGAGUGCAGCCUUUGUUAUUUUCCAUACAGUUGCACGAAUUUAGCGAAAAUCGACCCUUUGUGGGGACCCGUUUGUUUUGAUGAGACUUCUGUUCGUGGGGUCUCCGAAUUCAACAGAUGAGGAAGGUGAAGUGGAAAUGGUUCAUUUUAUGUAAAGUGUAUACCGGAGACUAUACACAAGACAAUGUAAAUGCGACCAUCGGACUUGACGCGUGAGAUUCAAGUUUCCAUGGCAUUUAAUGAUAGUCCCAGCAUUCAAAAAAAGGUAUGUUGCUUCACUGCGAGAUAUACAGGGAUAGGAUAAGAUACACGUGAAGUGUACUGGUAUAGUAAGAACGCUUCGGACCAUUCCCAUUUUACCAACACCCAAGGGAUGAGAUUGGGUGGUGCUAUAUUAGGUCACCCCGUUCCUCCUGGCAAAGAAGACACCUUUGUUAAGAAAAUCGCGUUAUACCAUACUAUUUCAUUAAAAUUUUGUUUAUCAAAAAAAUAAAACCUACUAGACAGAACAA